AGAUUGAACGCUGGCGGCAUGCCUUACACACGCAAGUCGAACGGCAGCACGGGAGCAAUCCUGGUGGCGAGUGGCGAACGGGUGAGUAAUAUAUCGGAACGUGCCCAGUCGUGGGGGAUAACGCAGCGAAAGCUGUGCUAAUACCGCAUACGAUCUAUGGAUGAAAGCGGGGGAUCGCAAGACCUCGCGCGAUUGGAGCGGCCGAUAUCAGAUUAGCUAGUUGGUGGGGUAAAAGCCUACCAAGGCGACGAUCUGUAGCUGGUCUGAGAGGACGACCAGCCACACUGGAACUGAGACACGUCCAGACUCCUACGGGAGCAGCAGUGGGGAAUUUUGGACAAGUGGGCG
rnacentral:rRNA from 1 species